AUGGCUACAACUGUGGUGGGAGGAGCAUUUCUCUCUGCUACAAUUCAAAUCAUAGCAGACAAGCUUACCUCAUCAGAAAUACCAAAACAAAAUCAGUUCAAGGAUCCUCAUGUUAAACAAUGGCUUGAAGACUUGAAAGAUGCAUUAUUUGAUGCUGAAGAUUUGCUUAACUUAAACAGCUACAGUGCCUUGCGAUGUAAGUUGGAUAACACCAGUUGA